AUGCACCGAACCGUGGUCGAUAUGCCACCACCAGAUGGGGACAUAUGCACGCCAGCUAUGCUUCACGAUGUCCUGACUUUUAAAUGGUUGAAUGGCGCUAUAAUCAAUGCAUAUUGUAAACACUUACAACACCGUGAUUUCUCUGAUCGUUUCAUAUCAACAACGUGGUUCCCCAAAUUUAUGUUGGGUAGGGCUAGGGGAAAGACCAAGUCAAUUAAUGAUUUGGAUUCUGAACAUGUUACAAAGAAAGCAGAAGUCCUUGCAAGAGUAAUGGAUGAGUAUUUCAGACGGGACAAGGUGUAUUUUCCUAUGCACGUUAAUGACAAUCAUUGGAUAACCAUAGUGAUGCACACCGUCAAGGAGGAGUUUCAAGUUCUUGACUCAAAUUCUAAAGGCGCAAUAAGCAAAAGAAUUCGCAAUAUGAUUGCCACCCUGAGAGCUGAAAUUUCUAAAGAUAUUAUGGAGGCCAACUCUACUCUUGAAUCAAAAAAAUUUCCAGAUGUCUCAUUGUGGCCAAUUAAUGAGUAUAAAAUGCCGAUACAACAUGAUGGAGUGUCUUGUGGACUUUUUGUGAUGUGGUGCAUAAAAUAUUGGGACGGAGAUCGCUGGACACAUGAAUUUGACCAGCAAGAGAUUAAUGAGUCAAGGCCGCGUAUUGUCGCGGAAAUCAUUUUUUCUGAGGUCAACAGAUUA
rnacentral:rRNA from 1 species